CCUACGGGGUGCAGCAGUGGGGAAUAUUGGACAAUGGGCGAAAGCCUGAUCCAGCCAUGCCGCGUGUGUGAAGAAGGCCUUCGGGUUGUAAAGCACUUUCAGUGGGGAAGAAAGCCUUGGGGCUAAUACCCUCGAGGAAGGACAUCACCCACAGAAGAAGCACCGGCUAACUCCGUGCCAGCAGCCGCGGUAAUACGGAGGGUGCGAGCGUUAAUCGGAAUUACUGGGCGUAAAGCGCGCGUAGGCGGUCUGAUAAGCCGGUUGUGAAAGCCCCGGGCUCAACCUGGGAACGGCAUCCGGAACUGUCAGGCUAGAGUGCAGGAGAGGAAGGUAGAAUUCCCGGGGUAGCGGUAAAAUGCGUAGAGAUCGGGAGGAAUACCAGUGGCGAAGGCGGCCUUCUGGACUGACACUGACGCUGAGGUGCGAAAGCGUGGGUAGCAAACAGGAUUAGAUACCCGGGUAGU
rnacentral:rRNA from 1 species